rnacentral:rRNA from 1 species
AUGGCGAUCCCUUCCCCCGCGCGACUCCACCAACCCCUGACCUGCCGCCGGCCGGCGGCUCGCAGCAGCCUCCAAUCCGCGGACAGGUCUACGGCGGCAUGCCGGUGGCAGGGGCGCCUUCUGCCCGUGGCGGCUGCUCCGCUCCGCCUCCGCGCCGUGCGUGCCGCGGCCGCUGCGCGGCAGCCGUUCGACAACGGGUCCGGCGUCAUUGAAGCAGAGGGGGAGGAGGAGGACGACGAGCAUCCGCGCCUGAAGAUCGCCAUAGUGGGGUUCGGCAACUUCGGGCAGUUCCUGGCGCGGACGCUGGUGCGGCAGGGGCACACGGUGCUGGCGCACUCCCGCUCCGACCACUCGGCCGCUGCGGCCGACCUCGGCGCGUCCUUCUACUCCGACCCGCACGACCUCUGCGAGUGCCAGCCCGACGUGGUCCUCCUCGCCACCUCCAUCCUCUCCACCGAGGCCGUGCUCCGCUCGCUCCCCGUCCACCGCUUCCGCCGCAACACGCUCUUCGCCGACGUGCUCUCCGUCAAGGAGUUCCCCAGGAAGCAGUUCCUCAGCCACCUGCCCGAGGACUUCGACAUCAUCUGCACCCACCCCAUGUUCGGCCCGGAGUCGGCGCGCGACGGCUGGGCCGGCCUCCCGUUCGUGUUCGACAGGGUCCGCGUCGGUGACUGCCCCGCCCGCCGCGCGCGCGCCGAGGCGUUCCUGGGCGUGUUCGCGCGCGAGGGGUGCCGCAUGGUGGAGAUGCCCUGCGCCGAGCACGACGCGCACGCCGCCGAGACGCAGCUGGUGGCACACACCGUGGGGCGGAUGCUGGCCACGCUCGGGCUCCGCCCCACGCCCAUCGACACCAAGGGGUACGAGACGCUGCUCCGGCUCGUGGACAACACCUGCAGCGACAGCUUCGACCUCUACAACGGCCUCUUCAUGUACAACAAGAACUCGACGGAGCUGCUCCACCGGCUGGAGGCGGCCCUGGACACCGUCAAGAGGAGGCUCUUCCACAACCUGCACGACGUGCUCCGGAAGCAGCUCUUCGAGGGCUCGCCGCCGCUCAACAGGGACGGCCCGCCGAGCCCGGACUCCUCGUCCACCGCCGAGUCCUUGUCUAAUGACCGGCCGUGA